AGAGUUUGAUCCUGGCUCAGAUUGAACGCUGGCGGCAGGCCUAACACAUGCAAGUCGAGCGGUUGAAGGAAGCUUGCUUCCUGAUUCAGCGGCGGACGGGUGAGUAAUGCCUAGGAAUCUGCCUGGUAGUGGGGGACAACGUUUCGAAAGGAACGCUAAUACCGCAUACGUCCUACGGGAGAAAGCAGGGGACCUUCGGGCCUUGCGCUAUCAGAUGAGCCUAGGUCGGAUUAGCUAGUUGGUGAGGUAAUGGCUCACCAAGGCGACGAUCCGUAACUGGUCUGAGAGGAUGAUCAGUCACACUGGAACUGAGACACGGUCCAGACUCCUACGGGAGGCAGCAGUGAGGAAUAUUGGACAAUGGGCGCAAGCCUGAUCCAGCGACGCCGCGUGAGUGAUGAAGGCCUUUGGGUCGUAAAGCUCUGUCAGCAGGGAAGAACGGCCGUGUGGUUAAUACCCAUGCGGAUUGACGGUACCUGCAGAGGAAGCACCGGCUAACUCCGUGCCAGCAGCCGCGGUAAUACGGAGGGUGCGAGCGUUAAUCGGAAUUACUGGGCGUAAAGGGCGCGUAGGCGGCCGAUCAAGUCAGGUGUGAAAGCCCACGGCUUAACCGUGUGAAGUGCAUCUGAAACUGGUCGGCUUGAGUAUCGGAGAGGAAAGUGGAAUUCCCGGUGUAGAGGUGAAAUUCGUAGAUAUCGGGAGGAAUACCGGUGGCGAAGGCGACUUUCUGGACGAAUACUGACGCUGAGGCGCGAAAGCGUGGGGAGCAAACAGGAUUAGAUACCCUGGUAGUCC
rnacentral:rRNA from 1 species